rnacentral:rRNA from 1 species
AAACUAAUUUGAUUUGGCGGCAUUUCAUCUAUUUAGAGGAAUUUGUCAUUUAAUCGAUAAUCCACGUUAAAUUUCACUUAAAUCUCAAAAUUUAUAUACCGCCAUCUUAAGAAUUAAUUUAAAAAUAUUUCUCUAAAAAAAUAAUAAAAAGUUAGGUCAAGGUGUAAUUUACAUUAAAGAAUAAGAUGAAUUACAUUAAAAAUUAUUUAAAGAUUAUAAAUAAAUAUAAAUAUAUAAAUAAGAAUUUAAAAGUAAUAUUAAAAUAAUAAUAUAAUAUGAUAUAGAUAAUAAAUGUGUACACAUCGCCC